UCCUCUUAUUCAGUACCUUGAGAGCAAUGGCAGUCUCACGCUCCGCAGCUUCGGUUGUACCAUUGUUGGUCGUGGUGGCCAUGGUCUUCUCGCUAGUCGGAGCCUCGUUCGCCGCCGAGGCUCCUGCACCGGCUCCCGCUUCUUCCGCCGUGUCAGUUUCGCCGUCAUUGGUGGCCGGAUUCGCCGUUGCCUUCGCUUCUUUCAUCUUCGGAUCUGGAUUCAGAGUUUGAAGUAGUACAGUUAUUUAUAUUAUUUGCAGGAGAUAUUUGAUUUUGGGGAGGUUUUGUACAUGUGUUUAUUACUACUUAGCUAUGAUGUUAGUGUAGUAACCGCUGCUGCAGUUUGUUUUUCCUUUUUCAUUUUUUUUUUAUUAUUUUGUGAGUUUCUCGAGGGGUUUGUUUCUAGCAUGUUAUUGCAGAGUUGCAGUUUAUUUUAAAUUUCUCUUCACUAAUAUUUCGUUAAAAUAUCUUUUAUUGAUUUACAAUCUUAAUUGUCUCAUUGCACCGUUAUUAUUUUUUAAUUUUGUGGGGUAAUUAAAAACACGGGGAAAAAAUCCCUAUUAUUCUACAAUUUUUUUUGUUUUUACCCUUGGUAACUAAUGAAUACUAGUACUAUUAGACAAUUUUAUGUGUACCAAUAAUUACAAGUAGGCCUAAAAACAAUAGCAGACAGGAGUGAAGCAUUAUGUGACUUAAUUGAGUCUAGCAUUUAGUUGAAACUCGAGUCUAACAACACACAGAUUAAGACUCCUAUUUUAGCGAAGAAAAAUGCUUGAUUAAACUAGAAAUUCGAAUGAGAAAAAGUAUUCAAUCAAGAUGCUUGAUCAAUAAAUGGGGCUAAUACAUAAUUUCCAAUUUGUGUCAGGAGCGGAAUUUAUAUAUAAGCCACUAAAUCCAGCGUUGUUCUAUUUCGCUUCUCAACCAUCACAAUGGUCCUAUCCUCCAUCGAGCAAGCUAAACCAAAUUAUGGCAACUGAGCUAGGGGUGUACUCAAUUCGGACUCACGAGUAACUCCAACUUCAAUACAGUGUUCAUCUAGUUGGAAUCGAAUUCGACCUACUUGAUAAGAAAAUCUAGUCUACUUUGAGAGUAUUCGUCGUCAAUCUUAUCAAGUAAGAUAUUUAUAAUUAAUUUUUAAUUAUUUCUUAUAAAAUUAUGAAAUUCACGAAAAAAAACCGAACCUUCCUCUUAAACCUUGAUUAAUGACUCAUCAGAAAAAGAAAAUCCCGAGUUGGAAAAGAAAGGUGAUAGAUACUCAAGACCAACUGAAUUUGCUUUGGAUUCUUCUCCAAGUGUACUUUAUCAAAUACAGGGCACAUUAAUCUUGCCAAAAGUACGCUGGCGUACUCCACUUGACAAAAGCUUAACCUUCUUUACCCAUUGAUUAUCAGCAGCAGAUGAUCACCUUUUAGCACGAAACCUACAAGUCAAUCAAAUCCAAAGGGGGGUUCUACUCGGAAUCGGAAUCCAUGUUUCCCAUAGCCUCAGUCCUCGUGGUCUCUACAAAUGUGAAAUUAAGAGGUCACAGUUGAAAUCUCCGUAAAUGUUCGAUUACAGAACCAACAAAUGUUCAAUCUAAUCAGAAGCGAUACAAAUAUAUAAGAAGCAUACCUUUUUUGACACCUUUUUCUCCCUAACCUCGUACGUUCUAGUGUAAGAUCACAGAGCCAUGCCCCUGGACUUACCAACUGCACCACAAACAAAAUCGCAACUUACAUUUUUUUUUUAAAAUUUUUUCCCAAAAGUGAUAAAAACAAACAAGUCAUAAAAUGCUAAAACCAAUUUCGGAAGAAACAAGAACAUAGCAUACACAACCACAGGGUUUUGUAUUAAAAAAAAUCAAGACAUGAAAAAAAAUCUCAGAUUGAUAUUAAGUACACAUGAAAUAUUAGAAGGACAGACAAGAGCAAUCACCAACCACACUACUUUUAAGUUAGGUAGGAAGUAAGUAAUACAGCAGAUUAGAUUAAUUGCUAACUGCUGCUGCAUAACAGCCUUUGAAUAGUGAAUAAUUAAAUUACUCAAGCACAUAAACCAGUUUUGGACUGCAAAAAGCACUUCUUAAACAUAAUCACGCCCUGUGUUUUUUUAUGCCAUUGUGCUUUGUCCCUUGUGCCUUUGUCAGUUGGUCAGGUGGUCCAAAGAGAUGGAUUCCACCAAAUGUAAUAGUAAGAAUAUGACACUUCUACCAAAAAAAAAGGAAUAUGACACUCAUGGGUAUAAUGUUCUUCCAUUAUCAUCCACAAGCUGAUCAAACCAUUUGGCUAGGAAUUAGAAUCAUAUCGAGCUUGGUCUCCAUGUUCCAAAGAAAUUUGUUUGCCGGAGCUAUGAUCCAAAUUCCAAAGCAAUUAUUGAAUGGAGUAGGCAUCAUUAUACACAGUGCUUUACUUUUCUUCCUUGCAGAGCACAAUUAGACACUGUCCAACUACUAAUAUACAUACACAUACAUACAGAUAUAAAUAUAUAUAUAUACACACACACACACACACAACAAAUAACGUGUAAUAUGUGAUUUAGUGCAAGUGAUACAAUAUCUUUGAUCACUUAGCUAAUCAACUUGUCUAACCAAAUAAUUAAUUGGGUUCUCGUCACUGUCCAAAGGCCUCGUGGCACCUGUAUACUCUUAGUUCAACCAGCUACGUUUUCUAUGGUCAGCAAUUGCUAAAUUAAUCUGCAUCCAUGCUACAUCUGCACGUGUCCUGCAUCAACCAGAUGUCAUCCUCUUGCACGCAUACAUAAGCACUUAGUUCUUUAUGGUUUGUAGCCCUUUGUGAAAAAAGCCAAAAGCCCACCAAGGUCCUAAGUCACGGAGGAGGAGAAGACCUCACCAAAAAGCAUGGUGUUGUUUCCACCAUUGCUUUUGCAAUGCUUUUUGUACCUAAACCAGCAACUAUUAUCUAAAGUGAAACUAACGUACUGAUUCUCUAAAGACCUUCUUCUUCGCAAACAAGCUACCUUUUGUUCAGAGGCAAAAAUUCAGUAAAUGCGUAAUCAACAAGAAAAAUUAAACAACCCAGUUGACUCAAUAAUAAAAAAAAAGUACUAGUAUACUUGAUUUUGCUAGAAAAACUGAAGCAGCAACUCUAUUGCUGUGGCAACAAAUUUUAUACUCUCUAUGGAUAAUUCUAAAAAGGGUAAUGAAGGGAACAACAAGAAGCAGAGAUUACUUGAAAGUUCAAAACAGAGCAGUUGAUCACAAAUUAUAGCAACUUGAUAUAAAACAAAAGAUAAUCAGAGAGUAGAGAACUUACAUUGAGGGUGCGUUGGAUGAACUUAGCUCUUUUCUUGGGUCUUUGAGGGAGUUUGGAACCCUUGAUGGCCAUAAAAUCUUCUUCUUUCUCCUUAUUCGUCAAGGCGAUCACGAACUUAGGCGGCCAAACAGCAGGAUCGCAUCACUCCCGGAUGAAGUCCUCCUCCUUUCUUGCUAUCCGAUGAUGCCGACCCAUUGAUAUUAUUGCUGUUAUCAUUAUUGUUGUUGCUGUUAUCAUUAUUGUUGUUGCUGUUGUUCUUGGUACCAUUGCUGUGGUGAUGAAGGCUGUUGUUGCCCCUUUCCUAUCAUGGCCACCAGCCCCUACCCUGUCCGGGGAAGCCAAACCCCUCACCCCGUUGCUUUGUCCCCUCAUAGCCAGUGAACUAUCGGAAUUCCUAAGAAAAGAAAAGAACCAAAAAAAAAAAACACAAAAACAAUUUGUAAUCAGAAAACACUGAACAUAAAUUUCUAACAUCAUUCCUCCUAGGACUAGCAUGGGCUGUAAAAUAUGCACUACCAAUAACAUUUAGGCCCUUUUACUACAAGGGAAAAGUAAACUACCAAAAUAGCCUUUGUGGGGUAGUCACGAAACGAUAGAUCUCGGGGUUACGUUGAAUUGUACGCUAUGAAAAUUGAAAACAAGAAUCACGCUGGGGAAUUGCGUAGAAAAUGGGCGAAGGGUAUACGGGCGCUGAUUUCUUGAGCCCGGAUAAAAGCUUUAAAAAAAGUGAUCAAAAAAGAAAGAUUAUGUGGGUUGGGUGCGUGUUAUACGCUGGGAAUAUUUUAGGGGAGAAGGGGAAGCUUUUUACGGUUUUUGGUUUCUGGCCGUAGGAUCGAUAUUCCCAUUACAUGUAAGGGAAGGGUUACGUGUCCCAACACCUCUCUAUUGGAUGGAUCUUCUAAUGAUGCUGGAAAUUGAUAGGGAAUUGGAGUUUACAUGAUAUCCUUAUUGUUAUACAUACACAUACAUGGACGUGUUGAAAAGGGCAGCGAGUAGGGCCCACUGCCUUAAUUGCCUGUGAUUGCAACAACACACAAAAUAGAAAGAAAGAAAUGGGUUAAUUGACCCGAUCAUAAAAAUGGAUUCUCAGUUUCGUCUUCCCCAGCCCAUCAAGAAAAUCAAAAUAAUUAAUAUGUUUUGUUUUUUUAUCAGUUGAUCCGUUUUGACCUUCCAUAAUGACACCAGCAAUCCUCAUUAUCUGUGGUUAAUAACGUUUACACCCACCCAGCGGAGGCCCGCCCCAUCCACGUCUUCUCAAUCAAAACAUUAUAAUUCCAUUUAAUCAUGACAAAAUUGCCAUACGUGGAGGGGUUCAAUUCUGCAACUAUCUGAUGGUUACCUUUAAAGCGACCAAGGAUCAAGACGCGCGUGACAAUAGAUCACUUCAAAAUUUUUUAGAGAUCAAAGAAUUCAUUGAGCGUGAGACAGACAAAAUAGCUAGCACGCCAUAUUAUGCCUAUCCAUCCAACUUAAAAGUGACAAAGGAUCCAAGUCCCAAAACUAUUAUCUUAAAAAUGGAAAUUUCCAUGCCAUGAUCAGCCACACGAUCUAUUUUGGGCUGGACGUCCACCCAUGUGAUAAUAUUCUAUUACUAUUUCAUUUGGGUCCGUCUGGAUCGGAGAUUAUUUGAAAAAAAAAAUAUUAAUUAAAAUAAUAUUAUUGUAUCACUUUUUGAGAUGUGAUAUAUAUAUAUAUAUAAAACUAAAAAUUAACUAAAAUAAUAGUCUAUUAAUUUACUUUGGGUCCAUUUGAAUUAGAGAUUAUUUGAAAAAAAAAUUAACUAAAAUAAUACUAGAGAUAUUUUUACUGUAACACUUUUUUUGAUGUGAUGUAUGUGAGAUAAAAAGGUAAUUGGGAAGGUAAAAAGGUGUAUUGGAAAUUGUAAUGAUGAUGUAAGCAAAUAAAUUUGGGGAAAUAAAGCCCAAUCCAAACAAACACACUGUAUCACUUUUGUAAUACAAUGUUUAUAUAUAAAAUAAAAAAUAAUUAUAUUUAAAAUAAUAUUAUAAUAUUUUUUGUGAUAUAAUACAUGUGAGAUAAAACGAUGAUUAAAAAUGACGCAUCUAUGUGAUGUAAGUAGGACAACUCCUCUUGCAAGCCGUAAGUAGGAUAUUCAAAUAUGAAAAAAAAUUAAAAGAAAAAAAAGAUUGAUAAUAGGUUAGAUUAUAAAAUUGGGGAAACCGUCUUAAAUCUUUUAAUAAUUCUAUUUUGCCCAUCAAUCAAUCCAUACCCCACCCACUAAACCAUCAUCAAUCAAAAAUUAAGGAGCCCCACCACUUCCAUCAACCCAAAUCCCACAAACUCUCCAAUCCCAUGCGCCGCUCACGUGACUCAACCACACUGAGUUGGAUUUUUAAACCCCACAAAAAAAACCAGAAGAAAAAAAUAACAACCAAUUUUAUCAAAACAGAAAACAAAACAAUAAAAAAAUGUACCUAAGAAUUCGGUGAGAUGGAGAAGCCGGCCGCUGACGGAGGUUCAAAUAGACAUUUCCGCCGUUAUUGGAAUUCCCAUUGUUGUUAUUAGCAUCACUGGGCUGAGAUAAAUCCUUAUUAUGGUCCGAUCUUACUAGCCGCCGAUCAACCCGACCACAGCUCUCAGACCGCCCGGCUGCAACCCGGAGGAGUCGCGGUUAUUGCCGUUGUCCCGGACUUUGGCCUGGAAUUUCAUACAACGCAGCCUUUUACGGCUCCCCCACUGUAAACCGAAGUCAGACGACGUCGUAGCAGGGGACCUGGUCUCAUUGCUACUAUUAUAGUGGUGGUUAGGAUUCGAAUUCCUCUCCAUCCUUAUCUCUACCUUUUCUGGCCCUUUUUUUUUUUACUUCCACCUGUCGGACAAAUCACCACUGUAAUUAAAAUUCUUUACUGCAGCAUUUAACUGGAGUUAAAAAAAAAAAGUCACAAAAUUAACACCAAAUCAGAGUUGGUGAUCAAUUAUUGACCAUUCAGGAUUUGUUUGCUAAAAUUAGGAAAUUCUGGGUUUCUAAAGUGGUACUAACACUGGAUUUGGAAGACGAGUUGGUUUCCAGGAGAAGAUCUUAUCAAUUCAUAUGGAGGAAAAUUACAUUAUUCAAGAAUCAAAAAUGGAGGAAAUGGAAAAGUUUAGCCAUUUAUGUUCAAAACAAACACCAUUCAAGGGAGGAAGAAAGAAGGGGAAAGGAUAAAGAAAGGGUCAUCCUCCUGAGCCCAAAAUUGCGUAUACAGUCAAGGGAGCAAUUAGAAAAUAAAAUGCUUCUCUUGAAAAAACAGAAACUGAAAAUUUUCUGAGAGAAACAGCAUAUGAAGAUGAUUUUUUACCUUUCAUAACAGGGUUCGUUCAUUGAAGCAAAUCUCUGAGUAAUUCAAUUGGAUUGUAGAGAUAAAAGGCAGGGGAAAAUCCCAAAAGAAAAAAAAAAAAGGUUUCCAUCUGAAAAACUGGAAUAGAGAAAGAGCAAAAGUUGAAGAAGAAAAUAUUCUGAUCACCAAUUCCAAUCAUCUGACAGGCUUUUGCUUGCUGAAAUUUAGACCAGCAAAUUUUCUGAAACUAUUGCUUGGGAAUCCAAAUAAUCACAUUACCUCAAAAUUAUGCUGAAAUUCUGUAAUCAAAGAAGUUGCUCCUGGAUGAAAUCUUGGCAACCACUUUGGAAUCUCUGUCAGAGAGACCUUAGUUUUGACACAUCACACGAAUCGGCCUCAAAAUCUGUAAAAACAAAGCCCCAUAAAAAAAUUCCAUCAGUUUAUUGAAAAUCAAACAUCAGUAGUAGAUGAAUUCUCUGAUUUUUGGCAAAUGAAAGAAACAAAUUUUAGUACCUGAAUUUGUAUUUAUACACUUGGAUUUCAUUUUGAAAACUCAUAUCAACAACCGAGAAUCAACAAUGGUUCUGAUCGUCUUUAGUCCUCAGAAUUAGGAACUGUUUCAAGUAAAUCAGAGCUUUAAUCCUCUGUCUGAAUUCCAAAUCCGAUCUUCACCAACCCAGAAACUGAUCCUCCGACUUGAAAAUUCCUGCAAUCUCCCCUGUCGAACAGAAUUCAGCAAAAAAAGACAAGCUUAAAUCGCCAAAGAUUCAUACAAGAAAAUCCACGAAAAUCAAAUUUCCAAUACCAUCACUAACCUCCAAAGCUUCAGGAUCAGACAGAAAAAUGAGAUUUCUAAGGAAACUCAAAUCCCAGUCCAAACAAAUUCUUCUGAAAACAACUCCAAUUCCUCUUUGAAUAAUGUAUCUGUUUAACAAAAAACAAGCAACAUAAGAUCAAUUUUCUCAAUUACUACAGAUAAGCUGGGCCUUUCACCACAAUUUCUCAGUACAAUUGUAACAGAGCAGCAGGCAGGCAGAUCUUUCUCAGUUCAAGAAAAUCCAUCCAACAUUUUCACCUACCCAGAUGUUUCCAGCAAAAUCAAGACGCUCCGCUGCUUCUAUUUCUCUUUAAAAGAAUAUGGCAGAAAGGAAAAACAGAAAAUUCAGAGAAAGAGAGAAGAGAGUGCUGUUUCCUUCUUCUUCUUCAGAUAAAAACUACAAAACAGAACGAAAUAGUCUCUCUCCCUUUCUUUCAAACCCCUGGUUUUAUACCUCCUUUUUUUUUUUUUCAAUUUCCAUGCUCUUUACAUCAGGCCGCCCAUCUUCAAUCCCCUGUGUAGUAGAUAUUAUCGGACGGCCCAAAUGUCUCCUCGUUCCACACGUCAUCAUCUUUGUUAAUUCCCCCGUUUUCGUCGUUAAUUCGUCGGAUGGAAUCUUAACACUUUUAACAUUUUCACUCUACCCCCUCAAAUUUUAAGCCUAUUUUACCUCGAUAUUUCAAUUGCAUCACUCAAUUACUCUGCACAAUUUAUUUGACCCAAUCUAUUUCGCUAAAUGAAUUUUUGGUUUUACCAAUUUUGUAAGAGAAUCAUCAUGCUCGAAAAAGUCAGGUAAUACCCCAAAAAAAUCAUAAUUCAUUUUCAAACCAAAUCUAACAAAACUAUUUUUCCUUUUUUUUUUUCCACAUUUACGCCAUAGUUGGUUUUUUAGCGAGGGAGCAAGGUUUCACUGACAAUUUAUUGUUCUGUCAUCGUGCUAUGUAAUUUGAGUGUAAUUACAUAAAAUUAUAUGAUUUGAGCAUAUAGAAUGAAAAAUCAUUUGAAGAGAGAUAUAAAAUUUAUCAACCCCUACAUAAAUAUAUAUUGCCAAUAUAUCAAUUUAGGGAAAGAAAACAAUUAUUAUGCAAAUAUUGGACCUUUAUCAUAUUAUAAGCAUCAAUUAUAUGGGAUGAGGACACUAAAUUUCAAAAAAAAAAAAAAAAACUGCAGGUUAUUUACAAUAUUCAACUGCAUCUAAAGAAAAUCUAAUGAUAUAAACAAAAAGCCAUAUAUCAUACCUUUGAUUGGAUUUUACAUACUCUAAAACAACAAUUUUGCACUUUCUCUAACUAGUGAAUCAUUUGUUUUUCUUCCACGUUCGGAACAAGCAUGUCAAAAAACUUGUUUUAGUCAUACUUUUUAGAAAUUUGUUAGAAACUUCUAAAAUUUCAAAAUGUCUGAUGCUAUUUUAGUCAUACUCUUUAUGUACUAAUUCUAAUUCGCCUCAUCAUAUGUUCUUGAAUCUACUCAUGAAUUUCUUACGUGUGAUGUUUGAGCUCAUUGUGUCAAUGCACCGAGAUUUGGAGGAAAAAGAUAAGUUAAAAACAAAACAAAACAAAAUGUGUUCAGAAUUUUGUGUUUGUAAAACAUGCUCGGAAGAAAUUCUAUUAGUCAGUGGAUGCAAGUACUUCAUAAAUAUAAGUAUAUAGCAUGUAGCGUUGAAGGGUGGAGGUUGUUUUUUUUUUUUUUAUCCUUUACACACAUUUUUUCGUCGGCCUAUCUAUUUUUAGUAUGUUUAUCAGGUAAACAAAAUUAAACAUUCAUCAAAGCAAAAAGCAAAACUUACUAUUCCGUGUUGCAUCAAUUUUUUCGAUUAAUCUUAUUCACAGUAACAACAAUAAUGUAUGCACUGUCUUCAUUGAAUGGAUAAUAACUGAUUAUCUGAAUUUAGAUUUAAAUUUUAAAUUUUAUACAUCCAACUGUAAUAAUAUAUAUAUAUAUACACUAUCAAUCCAUACAAGAUUGAUUCUUUUUUGAUUAUUAUUGUUAGUCAAUAGAGAUGUUGCGUUAAUAGAUGCCCUGUAUUUUGGACAACGGAGUGCUGAUGAAGAAGCCUCAUUAUGCUCUGUCUGUCUCAUUACUGUAUGAAAUGAUGGCAUGGAUCUCAAAAGCGCAUGAAAAAACCGUUAAUUCUUUGUUAUUUUGGCCAUUGUUAUUUGUUGCUUGUGCUCUAAGUUUGAACCUAAGCUCGCUCCAAUUGUGUCCUUUUAUCCAUUGAAAAGAAAAUGUUUUCUAUCUCCCCACAAUCACUAUGCUACAUCACGCACUCCUUUACGACCGUUCAAACCAAAAGUAAAGACAAGAAAGAAGCAUAUCAUCACUAAUUCUCAUGCAUCGAAAAUUGACCAAAAAUCUGCCCCCCAGAAAAAAAAAAAAAAUCUAGAGUUGGCAAAUAUUAUUAUCUGUCUCUGUCUCUCUCUUUCUGUUUUUUUUAUUUUAAAAAAAAAAAAAAGUCUCUGGAGUGUUUUAUUCGUUCGGAUGAAGAGAUGAGAUGGAAAAUCUUUUUCUUUUGGGUGCUACUUGAGGAAGGUGAAGAUUCCAGAGUUUUGUGUGGGGGAUAAUUUUGAGCAAUGAUGGUGAUGUGCAGAAUUGUCAGAGGAUGGAGAGUGAAGAGUAGCGGUGGAUUUUGAGAGUAGGGGCAAUUUUGUCACAAACAUAUAUAAAAUAUUUAUUAGUGAGGCUCGAGCCAAAUUUAGAGUGUAAGUAUCGUUUAUUUUUUUUUUUUUUUUUUUUGGUCACAAACAUUAAUAAGUUUUAUGAAGAAUUAUUAAACAUUUUCAGAUUCCUUUUGUUUAAAAAAUAGGGACUUCAUUACGCAGAACAAAAAGAUAUAGGAGCAAAGCCAAACUCAAGGGAAAAAAGUUAUACAGAUGAUUACAAACAUAAUCAUAUAUAUAUAUAUGCUAUGCUUCCAAUUCCAUGAGACAGAGCACAUUGGUUACCCAUAUUCCCCUCUCAUGCUGUCACAUAAGCAUUUUGCUGCAGUAUAAACUAACACACACACACAAACGCAAUGAUGCAGCAAGACUAGAAAAAUACAGCCAUAUGACAAUUGUCAUUAUCUAAAUAUAGAGCACCUAGGCUUUUCGGUAGAGAUAUGAUAUGCUUCUCUGAGGAUUAUUUACAAGGAAGCAAAUCCAAUGAAAAGCAAGUAGGCUAUUUUACAAUCAUAAUUGAUCAUAUGUGCAAGCAAAAAUAUGCUGUCACAUUCUAGGUAAUUUUGUUAUCAAUUUCUGAAACAAUCAUCAUGCACUGAAUCCCCGGUGGAGGGAGCUCCAUGAAUUGGAUGGAAGGCUGACACAGGCUUGGGCUGCGCCUCAGCCAUCUGAUCUUUUUUAAUCCCAGCGUUACAGAUAUUCGCAUGGAUCGCAUGUGUUUCAUUCCAUAUUGGGAUAGUGAACCACAAUGUGUCUCAAAUGUUCUGACCUGCAAGAUAACAAGAGCACUUGAAUGUAUAAGAUAAGGUUAUUACAGGGUGAAAUAUGUUGCAAAACCUUGCCAAAAACUGGAGUUGUAAACACUUAGCAAUACAGUUCCCUUAGCUAAAGAAAUACAGAAAAGAAAAACCUAAAACAACGAUCCCUGCAAAAAUAUGUCAAUAACUGUAAUUGGUGUCAUUUCAGUAUGUUGCUUGGGAUUUCAGAAUCUAUUUGAUAGAAAUGGAUAUAAAAGUUUACCAAAGAUUUUAGGCAGUCCCAGUCAUCAGCAAGAGGAUGGCCGGCUGGCCGGACAGAGUUCAGUAUCUCAGAACCUUUCUCAAUUCCAAACAAAAGCUUUCCAAUUAGUUUCACGCUAUUGUCAAUAUGCAUUCUGUGUGACAUAGCUUCAACAACCUGCUUCUGAGCUUCAACUUUCCUCGCAGAGCCUUCAGGAGCCUUGCGGAACUACAAGCAUGAAAAAAGUAACAGCAAAGUCAGCCACAUCUUGGGAAGGAAUUUAAGCUUUUGCACUAUUAUCUCCCCCUCGUUACGAAAGGGGACAUUCUAAUUCACCCAGUUGAGGAUUUCUGGCCUGUUCUCAUGAAACAAAAAAUUACUAGUAUAAUUUUGGCUAGUUCUCUUGUUUACCCUACAAUAAUACAACAUGAGCACAUUCUUAAUUAAUACCUGUUCUAACCAACAAUCUUUAUACUAAUCAGCACUUAGUUCUAUAAACUAGGGAGCAAAUAAAUCUCCAAGAAACACUUUUCGUUCCUGCAUAGCAGUGGAGCCAAAUGUCUUAACUUCUUUUCAAUCUACCAUGGGCUGAGGGGCAGAUUUACCCUUGUCCUGCUCCACAUCACUGUUAUAACUCAUAAACUAAAACUUGGACAUCACAAGAAAAGCAUCAAAAUAACUCAAUGCACUACAAGGAAGCUGUAAUACCUUGUCCCAGAAAUGCAACAGAUCAGCGUCACGUUGAUUACAGCUUUUGAAGAUGGCCGUAGGGAAUUUUCAUCCACAAAAGUGUAAUUAUCAUUUGCAGGGUUGGUACCCAUGUAGAGGAAAAGAUCCUCCAAACUCAGCUUUAGGUCACCAUAUUGCAUAACAUGGGAGCCAUAAGCUGAAUUACUGCUUGAGGUUCUCUUUUUAACCUGCCAAUUUCAAGCAUUUUGAAAUCACAACAUGGUACUUGCUAAUUGUUUUGAGUAAUGAAACAUAAAAUGUUCCUUUCAAUGUAAUUUAAAAUGAGGAACAAGCCCUUACCAGGUGAUAUUGCUGCUUCAGAGUUUCAGUGUGCAAAUUGUGUAUCUCGCUGUAGAAGGAAAAACUAUUAUGAUGAGCACCAAAAACAAACAAAGAAAACAGAAAUCAUGUAGACCACUUUGUUUGUUAGAGAGUAAAAAAUACCCAAUAACUAUAUUCAAAUGUUACACCUCCAAUUCAAGUCCAUAUAUUGUAUUCAAUUGUGGCUCAUUGGCACUUUUCUUCAUCAUACUAGUGAUAUGUAAAAGACAGUAUCAUGAUCACACCAACAUGAAACCUUUAAAAGAUUAGCAUUUAAAACAAGUAUAUCUCCAGAUUAAUAUCUGAAAUCACAGUUAAUAAUAUGCACAAGUGGCUAGGAUAUUUCAAUACCAGUCAAACAUACCUGUCUUCCAUCCAAGCAACGCUAUACAAGUCACCCAAGCAGGUCUCAUAUUCUGGGGGAGGGCUAGGAUACUCUCCAGGGCAAUAGGUCCCCCAGCUACUUUCCUCAGCAUUUGAUGCUGUGGUAGCAUAUAUAUUUAGAUCUUCAGGAAGAAGUCCCUCAAAUAUACUUCCUGACUCGCAAGCUUCUAGGUAGAAAACCUAGAUAUUGAUAACAGUAUCCAACACAUUUUAGACUUCAGUAACCAUCUAUGCACUCUCUCUGAGCAUGGGAUAAUUCACAAGGAAAUGUAAAAAGGAAAGAAUAUAUACCAGACUUUUAUAUGUGCCAGAAGCAUGCUUCUUUUUCAAGACUUCAUUCAGAUCGUCUGCAUAGAGAUAAGGACCCGACGGCGUCCCUGAUUGCAUGCCAAAAUAAAAGUAAAUAUCCUAAAGUCCAAGUUAUUGAUCCAUGGCAUGAUUUUAAAUGACCACAAUGUUAUCAAUAAAAAAAAAUCCUACAGUCCAAGUUAUUGAUCAACGACACAGCAUUAAGUGACAAAAAUAUAAUCAACCAAAAUUUUUUUGGAGUUUAAACUUCAACUUUAUGAUAAUGUAGAUUUCACUAUUUUUCUUUCAGAUGAUGGACAUAUGCUUUGACCGUACAUAGGAUUCAAAUUCCAAAUAAUAAAGGAAACAAACAAGUAGACCAUCCAACACAAAGGAAAAGUAUUGCAAAUCUAUCAUUUCAAAGCCUAAAAUUAUAAAUUAGAACUGUAUUAUAGGACAUGAAAUAUAAAAAUUAGUUUUUGACCAUCCCACAAAUUUCCCCAGGUACACAAAAUUUGGGAUAGAAGAAAAGGUUUAUGCAAAAGAACGAUGUAUUAAAGGAAUACAAUUUUCCCAAGCUACAACCAAAAAUCAUAGGUACGUCUCUUAUUUUGAAAUGGAGAGGCUUCCUAUCUGCCGGGGUUUCUUUUUCUUUUUUUUUCCCCUUCCUAUAAUAGGUCAAGUACCAUCAUAGAAUGGUGCUUAAGGACCAAUCUCUAGUAAGGAAAGCAUAAGUGGCAGAUGCAGCUUUCUGAUUAGCAAAACUAGAAUGUGACCCAUUUUUGGGAAUUUAGACAGUCGAAAAGAACAUCAUCACAAAAUGAUUUAAGGGAUGAGUUAACUGCCAAUAAGAAGAGAUCUUAAAGGUAAUUACCAAGAACCCCAGGACCACCAUGAUCUGUAUAGUAGAUAAAUAUAUGAUCAUUUGGACCACUGUCCACAACCUUGCCACUACCCCCAGUAAUUGCAGUUUUGUCCCCCAGGAUAGCAGCUAAAAAGUUUUUGGCAUGAACAUCAUCUCCAGUAUAGUCCUGCCACACAUGGGUGCAUCAAGUCUCAAUAGAAAAUAUUAGAAUUCUACAAGAAAUUCAUUCUUCAGGAAGAAGAAGAAGAAGAAGAAGAAACCUUUGGGACUCCUUGAUAGACAUCAUCACCAUGAGGGCUGUUAAUGAUAACUCCAGGCCUAGGGUUCUCUUCAUUGUAAGCAAUAUCAUCGUACAUGAAGACAACAAUAUUUUCAUCCUUAAGACCUCCCCUCUUCAGGAUUUGAUAGGCAUGACAAACAUCAGCCUAGAUCAAAGAACCAUCAAAUCGUUAAAAUGCUAACUAAGUAAAACAAGAAAAUAACUCGUAUCCUCUAUAAAGAUGGUCAAGACAACAUUACAGCAGGAAUUAUUAAGCAAGAGUUGUACUUAUGAACACCAACAUUGCACUUCAUGAACAGAUAGACUACAUUAAAGACCAUAGUAUCAAUAAACACAAUUGUACAUAUUUCAGUGUCAUGGUAUGCGAGUGUCCUAAACAGAAUUAACAAUCUUCCUUUUUCAACAAAUUGUCAACCAUAACAACUAUAGUACCAAAGUUCUUCACAGAUCCAGAACAAAAAAUCUAAUUUAUUAGCUGAAAGAAGUAAUUAAACAAUUCCAUGGCGGUAAAAAUCACAAAAGCCUCGAGUCUCCAAGAGUGGAAUCCCAUGUUUGAAAAAGAAACCUAGCCACCUUAGCAUGCAUGUUUAGAGUAGAAAUAGGAAUUUCCUCUUCCAGAUUCACUAACACAAUAAGACAAAAUCACAGCAUCUCAAAUCAAUUAGUUCUUCCAGCCAAAAACAAACAUGUAGCGCGCAUAAGCAAUUAGAGAUUCUUAACGUUGUAGAAAACAGGUAUGCAGCCCCAAUAUUGUCUGUUGGCCCAAAAAACGAACUAACAAUGGUAAAGAUUUAGACAGAAAGUUAACAGAAGCCUUUACUUUUUCAGAUAUCCAAACAAUAAUUACUCUUCAACAGCCAAAACUGGAGCUUUCCUUGUCUUAGAUUCUAAAACGUGGAUACUAUAUCCUACACUGCCAGUAUUACCUGUGCUGAAAACCUCGGUUAUAUAGCCCAAAAUCAUUUUCCCCUUCUAUGGAACAUAACUCAAAGGCUUAGAUACAGGACAUCAAGCUGAGCUGAGCAACCAAAAAGAAAAAAAUUCCCACACUUAAGAAAGGCUUCACUCCUUAAAAGCCUUUAACAGUAAUCAAGUUAAUAUUAUAUACCACGUAAUUCAGUUCCUAAUCAGAUGAAAGAUGAAAACUUUUUGUCUCAGCUGACAAUGUCACAAGGAUUUAAUUAUCCUUAACCAUUCUCAGCUGUAGCAAAAAUCAUGAAACUAUGAAGCCUUCAAUUUAUCUGGAACCCAAAUUCUUAAUCCAAAUAAUCCUUUAAAAAAAUCCGUUCUUGUUUUUUUGUUAAGGGGAAAAAAACGUUGCUCUGCAGCUCGAUCAUCAGGAGUAUACUUCAAAAAAAAAAACAAUCUUACGACAAAUAAACUCAAUGGAGAAAAAUUCAGCAAAAUAAAACAAUUCGUCAAAAGUACAGAUUUGAUCACCUGGUGCGGUAAUUCCAGUAACCGUUGGAUCCGGCAAUCAGAACAGCCCAUCUGGUCCCCACUGAGUCGCCACCGGCGUCGCUCCUCUCCUUGGGAUGGAAAAAAUCGGCAAUUUCCGACGGUAACUUUAGGAAGUUAUCACGAGCCUCAGCAACGGCGAUGAUCGAAAGUGCAAGGAGGAGCAAGGCAGCGGUAGCGUACCGCAUCAUUUUGGAUUGCUGUCUCUGGUUAUGGAAAGAGAGGUGAAGUUAGGUAUAGAAAAUUCGAAGUUGGGAUUGCCAUAUGGCAUACCCUCCAUAUUUAUAGAGAUAAAUCUUAAUUUCAAUUUGCCCCUUCCAAAGAUGUCAAUUAUCACUCUGCUUUUACCAAAAAUUAGUUGUCUUUAUCCAUACCCUUCAACAUUUUUAUAAUAAUUUUUUGCUCAAGAGAACAAUUAAAAAUGAUUUUUCCUUUUUAAAGGUAAGUGUUUCUUAGACUACUUUAGAAAUAGGAAUUUUAAUGGCCCUUAUUACUUUAGAAACGACAAAGAUAUUUACUUGCACAUGCUUUUAUGUUUAAUUGUGAAUCUUAUACAUUUUUCAAUUCAUGUGUUAACACUUUAGAAAUGUAAAGUUAAAGACAAAAAACUUAUAAACGCAAAGUGGAGUAAUAUUUGUUAACGUGUGCAUUAACACGUGAUUAGAUCAGUGUAUGAUUUAGGCCUUGUUUGGCAGACAAAUUUUUUGCUAAAUUUGUCUAUUACAAGUUUUUUAAAAAUUUAGUUACAGUAAUCUCAAAAAACUUUUCAAAAUUUUUAAACUAUAUAUUUUAAAAUAUUUUUAAAAAAAAUACAUUUUAAAAACUUCUACAGUAAGUAAGUUACAAUAAAAUUUUAGACAAACACUAAAAAUCACUUGCUAAACGGACCUUAGAUAUAUGAAUAAGUGUUUAUUAAACACUAGUUAAAAAUCCCAUUUAAUUACAAUUAGUUACGAUAAUAUAAGAUCAUGGUCCAAUUAUCAUGAAAGAAGAUGCGGAGCCACAAUUAGAAUAGCUCUGAGUUUGAGGAGCUAAAUUGGAUUUGCCCAUGAAUGGGAACAUAUUUUCCCUACUGCUCGGAGUCCAGGUCUGACCUGCAAUCUGAUCGGAGAUUCUCCGGAUUCUUGAUAGAUACUUACGUGGAAGCUUCUAGUCCGUCGGUCGUAAAUUCUAAAUACUGGAGUAGUUGCUUAAAAUUCGGGGCAGCCUCAGUGGACCCUGCAGGGCGGUGAUAGAUUGGUUACUUGCUGAGCUGAAAAAACCAAACCAACAUGACAGGUUGUGGGCACUUUUCUAAGCCGUCGUUGUCCCUGGGGUCUGGGGAGGGACAAUUGCGGCGUGACCCUUUCCUUCCUUCCUGCAGAAGUACGAAUCAUUCCUGAAGAAUGGGCAAAUGGGGAAUUUACACAUAUACCAAUCAGUCAAAGUCAAAGAAAAGUGUACCAAGAAAAUGGAUGGAAUUAGGAUGCAGCUAAUCUUCUGAUUUGAGAAAAUGAUAGAGGGGCUGCUGCUUCUGGGAAAGUACACUGUCCCUACUGUAUACUGGCUGCUGGGCGAUCUACUCAUUUGAUAACCUCGUUCAACUACCGGAAUCUUUUUUCUAAAUCGCCAACCUCGUUUAACUACCCGAAUCUUUUUUCUAAAUCAGAAUGGAUGUAAUAAAGGCCGCAAACUUAUUAGACUAGUCUUGGCUAUUAAUUUUUUUUCUUCAAAUUUCUCGUUAUUUUAUCUCCUCAUCUUUAUAUCUCUGUUUGGAUUUGACUAUUUUUUAAAAAUAAGUUUUUCAACUCCUAUGUUACAUUUGCACAUAAACAAAAUAAAUUAAAAAUACAUAAUCCAUACAAUAUUUCAAAUACAAUAUAUUAUAAGUCCGUUUGGAUUGACCAUUUUUUUGAAAAACAAGUUUUUCAAAUACAAUGUUACAGUAAUAUACAAAUAAAAAUAAUUCAAAAAACAUCUCAUUCAUGCAAUAUAUUAAAUAUUUCAAAAAAUAUUUAUAGUAAAAGUUUUUUAUAUUCAUUGCAAUAGUAAAAUUUUUUAAAAACACUCCCAAAAAUACUUAAUACAAACGAAGUAAAACCAACCAUUUCUAUCUCCUUCCCUCUCCACCAUAUACCACACCCACCACCAGUCCCCUCCUCUACCACUACCGCCACUUCUUCCUCUCUCCAUCUGUUCUCCUCUCUCCUGUCUCUCCUUUUUUCUCCCUUUCUCUCCUAAUUUGUGAUUUGAUUAUGAUCGAAGAAGGUAGGAAAGAGAAAAGGGUCAAGCAGGGAGGAGGGGAGAGAAAAGAGGAGGGAAGAAGAGGAAGAAGGGGAAAAGAGGAAAAGAAAAUAGAAGGAAAGAAGAAUGAGGGAAGGAAUGGGAAAGGGAUGAGAAAAGGAGGAGAAAACAGUGAUGACGGUGGAAGGGGUGGUAGGUGAUAGUGAUAGGUGGUUUUUUUAUUUUCAAAAAAUGCUAGUAAAAUUUCAAUUUUAAAAUCACCCCAAUAAACAACUAUAAUAAAACUUAAUCCAUACGAAGUCUUAGGUAUUUUCACCCCAAUUUUUAGACGCUUUAAUGGGUCUUUAAAAUUCUAUAUAAUAUAAAAUAGGAAAAAUCGUUCAAAACAUCACUUACAUUUUGUUUACUUUUAAAAUGAUAAUUUUAUGUCCCUUACAAAAUUAAAUCAGUAAAAUUUAGUCCAAAGCUAGAUUUUUAACCACUUUUUACAUUGAAUCCAACACAUGAUCCACACAUGAUUAUUUUUUUAGGGGCAAAAAGGAUAGAUCUCAGUUAUAAUUAAACAAAUGACCCAAUUUAUAUUCAUUUUUCCCCUAAAAAGUGAUAUCUAACCCAAACUAUAUUCACUUUUUUUCCUAAAAAGGUGAAAUUUGAUUCAAUCCAUAUUCAUUUUUGCUAUUAAAAAGUAAGAUUUGACCUUUUGUGUAUAAAAAAAUGACUGCAUGUGGAUUACGUAGUGAUUUCAACUUUCAAGCCAAAAAAGUGGUCAAACAUUUAGGUUCGGAUCAAAUUUUAUUAACUUGAAUUUAUAAAGGCAUCAAAUUAACAUUUUAAAAGUAAAGGAUGAAAAAAUAUAUUUGAUGGAAUGUGAGAAACGUUUUAAAUAAUUUUUCCUAUAAAAUAACAUUAAAAAAAGUUUAAUAUAUAUUCUAACUCCCAAAGUUAUGCUACUAGAAUCUGCCUUUUUUUUUUACACAAAAAUUUUACGAUUUUAACAAAUAUUUCAUUUACAUAUUUUUUUAGUCAUCUUUUUUAACAUAUAUAUAUUACAUCCUAAAAAGUGUACAUAUACAUCACAUCCUAAUAAGUGUUACAGUAAUUUUUUUUAAAAAAAACUAUGAGAAAAAUUAUAACCCAAGCAACCUUGAUGUUUCAGAAACUCUCAAGCAUGCGCCAUUGAUUAUUCUUCACUAGAGAAACAUCUGUGCAUCUUUUUUCCUAUAUACGCAAUCUACUAACUACAACCAAAUUUACCUAAACAGAAUGAAUGCAAGUUUUUUCCCUAGAGAAAGAAAUGAGAAUUCCUUCAAGUUUAAUCCUGUUCUUAAUCUAGACAGCACUUAACCAUGCAUUCACAAAAAGAAAGGCAACCAAUAACAAGAAUAAAUAUAUAAUUAAAUUGUCAUUUCGUUCUCUGUUCAUUACAUUGACAUCUUUGAAUCACCUCUUGCUCCUGUUCAAAACAAACAAUAAUAAAACCCUAUAUCUUGAUUUUUUAUUUUUAUUUUUUUGUCAUCACAGGGAGUAUCCCUUGCGAACUAAUUUCUCUGUGUCUGUGCAUCUGCCCCAAGAUACACAAAACGGUAGAAGGAAUCGAACCGCGAUCACACGGUGUCAGGGCCUAAUGAGCCCAGCCCAGCCCAGCCAGCCCGACCCGACCCGAGUGGCUAAACCCUGUAUCUUGAUCGAGUGAAGAAUAAUUGAAUGGAAUCUUUUGCUAGUAUCUCUGAGCAAAGGACAAAAAAUGAAUAAGAUUGCUGAAAUCAGCAAGUUGGAAGUCUCAUCCUGAUUGAGUGAAGGAUACUUGAAUGGAAUCUUUCAGUAUCUGUGAGCAGAGGACGAAAGUGAAUGAGAACGACAAUAAAGUCAUUGAUGACGAUUCACAUGAGUGGAACAUGCGUUUCCUUUCACAAACACGUAAGCAGGACUAUGACCGCUCCAUUUCUUGCUCGAAACAUUUUCAGACAACCAUUCUGCUACGCCACAGACUUCCCAUCUCAAUAAUUCAAAGUUCCUGUGCAUUUUCUUGCGUAGCCAACUGGCCAUCAACUUGCAGAAAAAGCUUCAAUUAUUAUUGGAAGAAACACAUCGCCUCAGUUUUCAAUCAAUUGCAGCUGCUUCAGAUAUCCAUCCAGCACUGAAUCGUGAUGCAGCAGCUUUCCUGAUAAAUACGAAUGGUUGGAAAAUCAUCAUUUUCUUUCGCUUCAUUAGUGGCGUUAGGUGUUCGUGAGUUUGAUAUUUGUCACGCAUAAGAGUUCAAAUCAAAAUUUUUGAGUGAAUAUUGGGUUCUGAUUUAUGUGAUCAAGGCCUAAUUUGGAGGAAGAGAUUUUUGCCCCUAAUAUUUGCCAAUUUAUUUGACUCAAAAUAUUUUCUCCCUUGUCGUUGCCAUUUUGUCUGACGCCAACAAUCUACAUUUUGUUGCCGUAAAUGUUACUUUGGUGAGUUUUUUCUUUUUUUCUUAUCGCGUCCAACUGUGAAAUUGCAAAUAUGUGCUUCAUAUUCUUUGAAUCCAAUUCUUGUUUAGAGUAGAGGAAUUUUUUUUUUUAAUCAUCACAGGAAGUAUCUCGUUCGGACUAAUCUCUCUGUGCAUGUGCAUUCGUUCCCCAAAAUACACAAGACGGUAGAAAAAGUCGAAUCCUGAUCACAUGGUACCGAGACCUAACGAGGCAAUCCCAACACCAGGGCGGGCGGGCGGGCGGGCAGGAGGGAUUUAGAAAGUUGCUUCUUACACGAAAAAAAAUGGUAAUUGAAGAGUGAUGGCUGAUGAUAAAGAUUCUUGAAUCUCGUUUCCAUCCUGCUUCUCGUUGUCAUCGUAUUGGUACCCAAAGUCCAACUUUGGUCCCUACAAGUGGAAUGAAUCUUGUUUUUCACAUCAUGCUGCUGUGUAAAUUAUUUUUACUUUUUCUUGGGCUAAAGCAAUAGUUUUUAUUUUUCGUUCUAUUAUUGGUGGCAGUAAAAAUGCAAAUUGUUCAUUUGUGGGGGAUCCACGGGAUCCAGGAAAGAUACGAAGAACUGGUGUCACGGCCUCACGGGGGGGUUCGUUAGAAAAUCUGAAGGCGGCGGCCAAAGGGCCCAAGAAUAUUAGUGACUGCUGUCGUCAAAGGCACUGCAGGAAAAGCUGUUAUGUUUCUCAAUCAAAGAUCAUACAGUUGUGUUUGUUUGUUUGUCCAUCAUUUAUUUCCCAGAUGCCGUCUCCCAUCGUACUUCCCUCUCUCAUUAGUUGGCGGACGAAGGAAAUUUGUUUUGAUUUGGUUACCUCUUUCUACCUUUUUUUUUUUUUUUUUAAGUUUAAGGGUGAUUUCAAAUCUGACAAAAAGAAACAGAGAAAAGGAAAAGUUGAAAGUGGAAUCAUAAAACUCAAAGUAACUUAAAGUUGAAUGUUCCUUAAUCUUGGGAACACCCGUCUUUUCUAUUUUAUAAUCCAAUUUAACAGUUAAUGCUAAUAAGUUCAGACUUUAAUAUCCUCAAACGAACGUGUUUGAUAAAUAAAAAUUAAAUAUUUUUAUUUUAAUCUUAAUUUCACGUAUUAGACUGUAUGAUAAAAUUAUAUUUAGUGUUUAUAUUCAAAUAAUAAAUUUUACACCAUAAAACCAGAAACCUCAAAUGAUGCUGGGACUUGGGUCACUCAUGGGAUAACUCUUAAGGAAUCCAGGAUGACACAGAUUAAAUCUUAUCCCUGUGAGCUAUGAAUGCCAAUCUUAUCCCUAUGAGCUAUGAAUGCCAAUUUUGAGUCCAACUAUUAUGGUGCGACAUAGACUCCUCGUCUCAAUAAUUCAAAGUUCCGAUAUUUUUUUUUAGUAGUCAUAUCAAUAAUUCAAAGUCGAUAUUUUCUCGAGUAGCCAUCAGCUAGCUAGCUGAAACCAUUACUCCUGAACACGUUGCCUGAGUCCAAGCAAUUGCAAUUUCAUAUGGUCAAGCAUUGAAUGGCGAGGUAGCAGCUUUCGUCCUAAAUGCAAAUGCUUGAAUUUCAUUUUCUUCCACCUUAUACAUGGUGAUUCACAAAUAGGAUACUUGUCCUACAUCAGUUUGAAGGAGAAGAAAUAGUGCUUAAUGCAUAGAAAUGGGAUGAGUUUUUGAGCCAAUGUUAAUUUACAAUUUAUAUGUUGAGCCUCUUUAGUAGGUGAGAUUCUU
rnacentral:lncRNA from 1 species